rnacentral:tRNA from 1 species
GGCGUUGUGCCCGAGUGGUUUAAGGGAACGGUCUGCAAAACCGUGAUUCACCGGUUCGAAUCCGGUCAACGCCUCCA